rnacentral:rRNA from 1 species
UGGGGGAUAUUGCACAAUGGGGGGAACCCUGAUGCAGCGACGCCGCGUGGGUGUAAGAAGCGCCUCGGCGCGUAAAGCCCUGUCAGCAGGGAAGAAAAUGACGGUACCUGAAGAAGAAGCCCCGGCUAACUACGUGCC